rnacentral:tRNA from 1 species
GGGCCAUUAGCUCACCUGGUAGAGCAAGUGACUCUUAAUCACUUGGUAGCAAGUUCGACUCUUGCAUGGCCCACCA